AACACGUGAGUAACCUGCCCUUAACUCUGGGAUAAGCCUGGGAAACUGGGUCUAAUACCGGAUAGGAGCGUCCACCGCAUGGUGGGUGUUGGAAAGAUUUAUCGGUUUUGGAUGGACUCGCGGCCUAUCAGCUUGUUGGUGAGGUAAUGGCUCACCAAGGCGACGACGGGUAGCCGGCCUGAGAGGGUGACCGGCCACACUGGGACUGAGACACGGCCCAGACUCCUACGGGAGGCAGCAGUGGGGAAUAUUGCACAAUGGGCGCAAGCCUGAUGCAGCGACGCCGCGUGAGGGAUGACGGCCUUCGGGUUGUAAACCUCUUUCAGUAGGGAAGAAGCGAAAGUGACGGUACCUGCAGAAGAAGCACCGGCUAACUACGUGCCAGCAGCCGCGGUAAUACGUAGGGUGCGAGCGUUAUCCGGAAUUAUUGGGCGUAAAGAGCUCGUAGGCGGUUUGUCGCGUCUGUCGUGAAAGUCCGGGGCUUAACCCCGGAUCUGCGGUGGGUACGGGCAGACUAGAGUGCAGUAGGGGAGACUGGAAUUCCUGGUGUAGCGGUGGAAUGCGCAGAUAUCAGGAGGAACACCGAUGGCGAAGGCAGGUCUCUGGGCUGUAACUGACGCUGAGGAGCGAAAGCAUGGGGAGCGAACAGGAUUAGAUACCCUGGUAGUCCAUGCCGUAAACGUUGGUCA
rnacentral:rRNA from 1 species